UACGUAGGGGGCAAGCGUUGUCCGGAUUUAUUGGGCGUAAAGAGCGUGUAGGCGGCUUGGCAAGUCCGCCGUGAAAACUCGAGGCUCAACCUCGAGAUGUCGGCUGAAACCAUCUGGCUAGAGUCCGGAAGAGGAGAAUGGAAUUCCCGGUGUAGCGGUGAAAUGCGCAGAUAUCGGGAAGAACACCCGUGGCGAAGGCGGUUCUCUGGGACGGUACUGACGCUGAGACGCGAAAGCGUGGGGAGCGAACAGG
rnacentral:rRNA from 1 species